UACAGAGGUGCCAAGCGUUAGGCGGAAUCACUGGGCUUAAAGCGCGUGUAGGUGGACGGGUAAGUAUCUUGUGAAAUCCCACAGCUCAACUGUGGAACUGCUGGAUAUACUGCUUGUCUUGAGGCAUUCAGGGGCAACCGGAACAAAUGGUGGAGCGGUGAAAUGCGUAGAUAUCAAGAGGAACACCUGAGGUGAAGACGGGUUGCUGGGCCGACACUGACGCUGAGUGCGCGAAAGCCAGGGGAGCAAACGGG
rnacentral:rRNA from 1 species